CUCAUUUCUCUUAAAGGCAUAGCACACAUUUUUAUUGUCACAUUUUUAUUGUUGCAUCCUUGUAGUAUUUUAUAUAGUAUUUUAUCCAGCAUUUCAUAUUCAUAUUUUUGAGCCAUAUACUAGAUAGCUCCUGGAUCUUUUACACUUUUUAGUGUUUUAUCACUUUUUAGUGCUUUUUCCUUAAUAAAUAUGAUGGUUAUGCUUCAGUUAUUAUAUUAUAAAACAUUGUGCCGAUUAACCCAUUGCUCCUACUGUUACACAUGAAAAUACGCUUGAGGACUGCUAUUGCGGCACCACAAGCUUGUCUGUCAUUAUCUUAUUGCACAAUGAAAAAAUAAAGAAUAAAAAAAAAA